rnacentral:rRNA from 1 species
CAACAACGGAUCUCUUGGUUCUGGCAUCGAUGAAGAACGCAGCGAAAUGCGAUAAGUAGUGUGAAUUGCAGAAUUCAGUGAAUCAUCGAAUCUUUGAACGCACAUUGCGCCCCUUGGUAUUCCAUGGGGCAUGCCUGUUCGAGCGUCAUU